AUUGAACGCUGGCGGCAGGCUUAACACAUGCAAGUCGAGCGGAGACUUCGGUCUUAGCGGCGAACGGGUGAGUAAUACCUAGGAAUCUGCCUAUUAGUGGGGGAUAACGAAUCGAAAGGUUCGCUAAUACCGCAUACGUCCUACGGGAGAAAGGGGGGAGUCUUUGGACCUCUCGCUAAUAGAUGAGCCUAGGCCGGAUUAGCUAGUUGGUAGGGUAAAGGCCUACCAAGGCGACGAUCUGUAGCUGGUCUGAGAGGAUGGCCAGCCACACUGGAACUGAGACACGGUCCAGACUCCUACGGGAGGCAGCAGUGGGGAAUAUUGGACAAUGGGGGCAACCCUGAUCCAGCCAUGCCGCGUGUGUGAAGAAGGCCUCGGUU
rnacentral:rRNA from 1 species